GAAGCGCGCCGCCCCGUCCAAGAUCCCGUUCGACCAUGUGCAUGGCGAGAUUCCCCGUCUCCCAUUCCAAGCAAAACUAUGUCUCCUCCCGCGCCGCUUGAUGUUCGUCGGCAAGAUCGAUGGGGGGCAUGCGGUCAAGAUCGAUGAGGGGCACGGGUCUGGUGCCAGCCGAUGGUGCCCGCCGAUCUUGGACGGCGGCGACCUGCGGCCGCUGACAAGAUUCACUGGGUUGUCCUCGACUCGCCCGUGCGGUGCUGACCAUGGAUGCCAAUGACCUGUUUGAUCGCAUCCGGCUACAAAGCAGCGGAGCCGUUGGUUGACGGCCUACAUUCUUCUUUUCUUUAUCUGCAAUAUUUGCGGAAAGGAUGAUAUGAAUGCUGAGUAAUUUAAAAUCGAGAUUCAGCUCGAGACUGUUAGGUAUGGCACUGUUUUAUCUCCGCAUGGUGCACCCUUCCUGUUGAGAGAAAUAUAACAAAUAUUGGCAGUAAAUAUGCAAUUCUCUUCAAGGCCGAGAGAGAAGGCAUGUCGAUUCAGAUUACUAUUGAUGAAUCAUGUAGUUGUACAGUUUUAUUUCUGUAAAUGCACAUGCCUUUAUAUGUGGUUCUGAAAUUAUUAUUUUGUUAUUUCUUACUAUGUCUGAAUUAGCAAAAUAAUUACUAAUUGGAUGAUGGAAGUGAUUUAUAUCACCCACCUCCCAAACUCUGUACCUAUCGACACUAUAUAAAAGAGACAGAGGUUUGUCUUCUCCAAACAUUGUUUUGUAGUUCGCCUAAAUAAGUGGUUUGAUUUAGAAGUGGACCGACCACUAAGUAUGGCACAGGUGAUUGUCAAUUUAUCAUGGAAGUUUUUUCUGAAUUAUAGUUAUUUUUGUUGACCAGUGGUUAUCUACCUGAAACAAUAUGCAUGGCCAUGUUGUUUCUACCAAAAUAAUUUUAACUUCCUGGUGUAAUAAUAUGGUCAUGCUGUUUUUCUUCUUUUCAAUUCUACAUGCAUGUUUCCUUCUGAAACAAUUACUCGAAGUGGUCACAGUUAAAAUUAUUGUGAUGCGGGACAUAUAUAUUUGGGCUCAUAUUAGAUAGGUAAUAGAAACUUAAACUUGACACAUGAAAAAGGUUUAUAUAAUCUUCCACACUGCUACUGUACAAAUUAUUUUUAUAUUUGGAGUCUAUCUACAUAUCAGUUAAUCAACUCUAGCAAAGGUAUGUUAAUUAUGGUCCGUUCAUUUGCCAUAACAUCUUAGAACUCCCACUAUAUUCCCAUGAAUUAAGAGGACCCAAACACAUAUGUGAUAAAAAAAUUGUGAGGGCACUAUUCAUGCAGAUAUAGCUUUCACCCAACAUAGUUCGUACCAGUAGCUGUAUGAUAGCCCUAGACUCUCUAGCAAUCUAUCUAGCCAUCCAUGUCUCACGAAAUAAUCCAUCCGAAUGGUUUCUAUUUCCUUCAGGAGUCCUGCAAUACUUGAAGCUAUAUUUUGUUGUAUAGUUAGUUCAUGUUACUAGGGAAAAUUAAGCAAGCUAUAUAUGUCCAAGAUACCUUAUCUUUGCAAAGUAUAUCACAGAUAAAUGAAGUCAAUAUCUUUUUUCUGAUACCUAUUACUGAUGUGUAAAUCUCAUGAACAUAUUAUUUCUUUGUUAGGUGACGAGUUUUUAAGGAAAUAGAUAACUCAUGUUAACCAGUGAUUAGAGUUGUUGAUGGCCUCAAGACAGAGGCGAGAUUAUCCGUCUGAGUGCUUUCUCUACCAAAUAAGCAGUGGGACUUUCCAUGUUUUGAGAUGUUCCACUCGCUUCAUGACUGUUAUUCUUGAGGACUUUUGAUGCUUUGAGAUCUUCCACUCUACACUUCUAGAAAUCUGAGGAUCCAGAAGCAUAUGAGUAUAAUUUUACGUUGUAUCUUGGCCUGACAUUUUGAGAACAGGCUAGACUAGAAAAUGUUCCCAUGACAGCCUGCAAGGUGCUAUCAAUCCACCUGCAAGAACUGAUUUACAUAGGAGGCAUAGAGAUCUCGCGGUGUGGACACCAGCCUGUGGUUCAGUCACACCAGCAGUUUCCCAGAUGGUGCACCUGACGAUAAAAGGAAUGCCAUGCACCCUCAACACUCUAGCAGUGGUUGAAUAUAUACUAAGCCCAUUUGGUUUGGAAAUGCACAUCUUUCCGAAAAAAUGACAGCUUCAAAAGUCUUGGAAAUAUACUGAUUUCAUAUGAAUGUUCAGCCUGGUGUGCAUCGAGUCACACAAUACUAGCAAUACUCCAAAUCAAUGUGAUUCCAAAACACCUCACAGAUUAUUUGACAAGUAUUUGUGCUAACACGCUGUUUUCUGGGGUUAGAAAUAUUUGUGGUUGCAUAUGUAAUAAUUGUUUCAGUUUAUUUUCU